UUUCAUGGAUACAGAGUUUCUGUUUGGGAUGAUGAAAAUGGAUAGUGGUGACUAUUGCACAACAUUGUGAAUAUACUUAAUGUCACUGAAUUGUAGACGUAAAAAUAGUUGAGGCUGGGUGCAGUGGCUCAUGCCUAUAAUCUCAACACUUUGGGAGGCCAGGGCGGGAGGAGUGCUUGGGUCCAGGAGGUUGAGACCAGCCUAGGCAACAUAGUGAGACUCCACCUCUGUUAAAAACAAACAACUAACUAAAAAUAGUUAAAAUGGUAAAGCGUAUGUUAUUUUACCACAAUAAAAAGGGGAGAAAAGAUCUGCGAUCUGAAAAUCAUAUAUACAUAUAUAUGUGUAUAUAUAUGAAAUUCAUGCUUCUUAUUAAAAGUUAAAAUAGUUGGUAAGUAACAUAUUCACUGUUAACAGUUUAAACUGCUAGUCAAUGUGUGCAUGCUUAGUUUGUUGUUGCUAUUAUUUUGGGGUUUUGCAAAUGAGAUCAAUAGCAUGUCCUGAUAUCUCUCUGUUCCUGUACAUAUGUAGCUAUAAGGUUUAGUACUAGAAUACUUAGAGAAAGAAAAUCUUAUUUUUUUUUCUUUCUGUGUUUAGGAAUAUUACAGCAAAUGAGUCUUCUUUGGUGGUCCAGCCACACCAGCCCUUAUACUUCACAGCGUGAGUGCCAGGAAGUCAGAGCACAGAUGGGAGGUGGGGCAUGGAAGCAGUGUUUGUCUUGGAUGAUAAAGAGAUAUAAACAUGAAGGCCAGGUGCGGCGGCUUACACCCGUAAUCCCAGCACUUUGGGAAGAGUGAAGUGGAGGAAGAGGUACAUUCAACUACAGAGGAGGAAACUGAGGCCCAGAGGGGAAAAGUGACUUGAUUGACAAAAAUUGGAUUCUGGUCUUUGUUCUGCCAAAGCCACUAAAUCUGUGUUGCUGAGUCUGCUGUUUGCAUGCAGGAAUGUGAAGGACUGCUCAAGUUGGAGAUACAAAUUGAAGCCAGCCCCAGUUCAAAACUGUUACAAAUGGAGUCUGUAGGCAUGAGGGGCUGACUAUAUAACUCAGAGUUCUCCAGUACUUUACUUUAAUAAAGAACACAAUCUUUAUUAAAGGAUAAGUAAUAAAAAUGUGUUGAUGUGCAACUUAUGGAUCUAUUAUUAAAACUCAACAGUCAUUGCAGCAAUGUUUAGAACUUAAGCAAACAAAAGUUUUGUGAGGGGGCAAUUUUAUCAAUGACAUUGUUUAGAAAUGUUGGUAGAUGGUGAUCAUAAAAAGCAGAUCAAUGUUUUAUUUCACUUGGGUUUUUAAAAAUUAUUUUUAAAAAAUU
rnacentral:lncRNA from 1 species